rnacentral:rRNA from 1 species
UAUCUCUGUAGAGUCUGCAUAUCAAUAAGCGGAGGAAAAGAAACUAACUAGGAUUCCCUUAGUAACGGCGAGUGAAGCGGGAAGAGCUCAAAUUUGAAAUCUUCAAGGUUUUACCUUGACGAAUUGUAGUUUAAAGAAGUGUUUUCUGUUGGAGUUUUGGUAAAAGUUCUUUGGAAUAGGACAUCAUAGAGGGUGAGAAUCCCGUAUUUGACCAUUAUUUCCAGCUUUGUGAUACACUUUCAAAGAGUCGGAUUGUUUGGGAAUGCAGUCCAAAAUGGGUGGUAAAUUUCAUCUAAAGCUAAAUACUGGCGAGAGACCGAUAGCGAACAAGUACCGUGAGGGAAAGAUGAAAAGAACUUUGAAAAGAGAGUUAAACAGUACGUGAAAUUGUCAAAAGGGAAGCGUUUGACACCAGUGUUGUUUUUCCGAAAAUCAAUUACGAAUGGCUUGAUUCUGUGUUGUAUUGACCUUAUCAGCUUUCUUCACUUUUUUCGAGUCUUUCUUAAUGCACUUUUCGGUUAACAAGUCAACAUCAAUUUCUUUUGUUGUAAAAGAGUAUUCGGAAGGUGGCUUUCUUUUCGGAGAAAGUGUUUAUAGCCCUAUACUUCUACAAUCGGAGAGAUUGAGGUCUGCAGCGUAGACCCUUCGGGGUUAGAUACACUUGUGCUAAGUUGUAGCUUUUCAUAGACAACUUGUUGACUAUGUUUAGUCAUGCGGCUUACUCGCUUGUGCUAUUUUACCUACGCUUAGGAUGUUGAAGAUGUAGCACAUCAU